rnacentral:rRNA from 1 species
UACAGAGGAGGCAAGCGUUGUUCGGAUUUACUGGGCGUAAAGGGCGCGUAGGCGGCUUAACAAGUCACUUGUGAAAUCUCCGGGCUUAACUCGGAACGGUCAAGUGAUACUGUCGUGCUAGAGUGCGGAAGGGGCUACUGGAAUUCUCGGUGUAGCGGUGAAAUGCGUAGAUAUCGAGAGGAACACCUGCGGCGAAGGCGGGUAGCUGGGCCGACACUGACGUGAGGAGCGAAAGCGUGGGGAGCAAACAGG